GAUGAACGCUGACAGAAUGCUUAACACAUGCAAGUCAACUUGAACUUCGGUUUGGGUGGCGGACGGGUGAGUAACGCGUAAAGAACUUGCCUCACAGCUAGGGACAACAUUUGGAAACGAAUGCUAAUACCUGAUAUUAUGAUUUUAGGGCAUCCUAGAAUUAUGAAAGCUAUAUGCGCUGUGAGAGAGCUUUGCGUCCCAUUAGCUAGUUGGAGAGGUAACGGCUCACCAAGGCGAUGAUGGGUAGCCGGCCUGAGAGGGUGAACGGCCACAAGGGGACUGAGACACGGCCCUUACUCCUACGGGAGGCAGCAGUGGGGAAUAUUGGACAAUGGACCAAGAGUCUGAUCCAGCAAUUCUGUGUGCACGAUGAAGGUUUUCGGAAUGUAAAGUGCUUUCAGUUGGGAAGAAAAAAAUGACGGUACCAACAGAAGAAGUGACGGCUAAAUACGUG
rnacentral:rRNA from 1 species